AGUGAACGCUGGCGGUAGGCCUAACACAUGCAAGUCGAACGGCAGCACAGUAAGAGCUUGCUCUUACGGGUGGCGAGUGGCGGACGGGUGAGGAAUACAUCGGAAUCUACUUUUUCGUGGGGGAUAACGUAGGGAAACUUACGCUAAUACCGCAUACGACCUACGUGUGAAAGCAGGGGAUCUUCGGACCUUGCGCGAUUGAAUGAGCCGAUGUCGGAUUAGCUAGUUGGCGGGGUAAAGGCCCACCAAGGCGACGAUCCGUAGCUGGUCUGAGAGGAUGAUCAGCCACACUGGAACUGAGACACGGUCCAGACUCCGACGGGAGGCAGCAGUGGGGAAUAUUGGACAAUGGGCGCAAGCCUGAUCCAGCCAUACCGCGUGGGUGAAGAAGGCCUUCGGGUUGUAAAGCCCUUUUGUUGGGAAAGAAAAGCAGCAGGUUAAUACCCCGCUGUUCUGACGGUACCCAAAGAAUAAGCACCGGCUAACUUCGU
rnacentral:rRNA from 1 species